rnacentral:rRNA from 1 species
GACGAACGCUGGCGGCGUGCCUAAUACAUGCAAGUUGAGCGCUGAAGGUUGGUACUUGUACCAACUGGAUGAGCAGCGAACGGGUGAGUAACGCGUGGGGAAUCUGCCUUUGAGCGGGGGACAACAUUUGGAAACGAAUGCUAAUACCGCAUAAAAACUUUAAACACAAGUUUUAAGUUUGAAAGAUGCAAUUGCAUCACUCAAAGAUGAUCCCGCGUUGUAUUAGCUAGUUGGUGAGGUAAAGGCUCACCAAGGCGAUGAUACAUAGCCGACCUGAGAGGGUGAUCGGCCACAUUGGGACUGAGGCACGGCCCAAACUCCUACGGGAGGCAGCAGUAGGGAAUCUUCGGCAAUGGACGAAAGUCUGACCGAGCAACGCCGCGUGAGUGAAGAAGGUUUUCGGAUCGUAAAAAUCUGUUGGUAGAGAAGAACGUUGGUGAGAGUGGAAAGCUCAUCAAGUGACGGUAACUACACAGAAAGGGACGGCUAACUACGUG